AACCAAUAAUGUAUAGGAGUUUAGUUUUUCCAUGAAUGGUAUAAAAAUUCAGUUUUUCCAUGAAUGGUAAAAGUUCAGUUUUUCCAUGAAUGGUAAAAGUUCAGUUUUUCCAUGAAUGGUAUUAAAGUUCAGAUUUUCCAUCAAUGGUAAAAAAGUUCAGUUUUUCCAUCAAUGGUAUAAAAAUUCAGUCUUUCCAUGAAUGCUAAAAGUUCAGUUUUUCCAUGGUUUCUACAUGGUAAAUCUUUAAAAACCCUUGAAAGCUCAUUAUUUGAAAAUUUUUU